rnacentral:piRNA from 2 species
UGGACCUAGUGUAGAGAGGAACCUCCCC